ensembl:lncRNA novel transcript
CAGGGCUGGAACAGCGGUACCCGCAGACAGUGCAAAAGGGAAGUCCCUGUUGCCUUCCCAUGCAAACUGUAGGGCGCUUACAGCUGCUGGGAGAGGAAAGGAAAGAAGAAAUACAAGCCUGUGACCCGGAUCCAACCCGCGGCGCACAGACCCCGGCUCUGGGCACCCCUGGUGAGCGCCUUCUGCGCCAGAGCUCCGUACAGCACCAGCCCGCGCUCUCCCCCAGCUUCUGUUCAUUUGCUGCAGUCCUGACGGGUCAGUUGCCUGAGCAUCCAUGCUGCCAUCCAUACAAACCCAGGCACGCAGAGAUGUACAUCCUUUACCCAGGGUGACACCAUGUGGAGCUGAAUCCAAGUCCGGGAGUCUGAUGACCGUGUCUGGGCUCUGACCGCGCAGCCGUCUCACAGUGAAACAAAUUGCGGACUGGCCUUGUCCUGAGUGGCCUUAGGAAGCUGCAGUGGCCUGCAGUCUCCUGGCCAGUCUGUAGAAUUUGGCAAAGAUGAGGCACCUUAUAGCCUUACAUGUUCUUAUUUUUCUUUCCUUUUCUCUUCUUUAUUUUCUUUUUUAAGGAUUUGAAUUAGUAUAUGUAAAGUGCUUAACGCAGGAGCUGGCAGAGAAAGUGGAUACUCAGUAAAUAACAGCAAUUGUUAAUUGUAAAAAGCAUGCCACUUAUCUGGUAAAAUCCCCCAUUCUAAGCACCCUGUUAAGUAGUUGGUAAUUCCUCACUUGAAAGAAAUUAAAAAGAAUUUUUGUCAGUUUUUUAAAAUAUUGUUUUAUUGUGAUAAAAUAUUCAUAACAUAAAUUUCACUCUUUUAAUACUUUUUAAGUGUACAAUGCAGAUUAAUAAGAGAAAUGCAUACAAAUUUAUUAACGUGUACACGGGAAAAAUAAGGUGAUUACCCAAUAUCCCAUGAGGUCCAGAUACUUAUACAGCGUUUUUUCAGAGAGGAGGGUGGAAGGCGGAAUGUAGGUGAUUCUGUUGAGGGGCAAUAAAUUAUUAUUAAGGAGAAUGAAUGGGUCAAGAAACAGAGAGUUAUUCGUAAAUGGUUCUCUUUGAAAAUUUAAUAAGCUGGAGAAAUGGAUUAUUUUUUUGAAAGCGUCUGUUCAGGUGUGGUCACGUGUUGGUUUUCUUUUCUGCAAUAGAUAAUGAGAUAAGAGGGAGGAGAAGGAAAAGUAAUUGUUCUCUUUGGUGGGUCUGCAGGGUCUUCAUGUAGAUAAGGGAGAGGACUCUUCCAGCUUCUGUUGAUCUUGAGGGACUUUAAUUGAAAAUACUCAUACCAGGGAGCCAUAUUUUGGGGCCAAGUUCCCUGCGCUCCUUCAAUCCUCCUGUUUGGAACUUCCCUAGAAUUUCACAUUAUCAACAGCUGAAUCAGUGAUUAUGGAGAGAUUUGGGUUAGAGGAAAAGAAGGCAAAGAAGGGGAAAAAACAAAUUGGGAUAAGCAGAAAAGAAAAAUAAAUAAAUAUGUUGUCCCAUAUCUUCUUGAAUCAGUCUCUUAGUCCUAAGAGUAGAAGCAUUUGGUCAAACAGCUGUGUCCAUUCUAGGAGGUGGCACUACAGAGGGGCUGGGCUUCUACAGCUGAUGCAGGCAAGCUGGUCUUUAAUAAGAGGCAUUUCUAUGGAAACAAAGAAAAACAAAGGUU